GCAGGGGCCGUCAUGCACCUUAAUCUGUUUCAAGGCCUCAGAGCCUGGCUCGCACUAGUCCUUUAUCCUGGGAUACAGCUGCCUUGCCUUUUCCUUGCUGCUCUCACCUCCUCCAGGAGGCUUUCCCUAACUAGCCGGCUACAGCCUCCCUUGCUGUGCUGGCAGACAACCUUGUGCAACUCUCUCCCGGCUCAGCAUUAACCACAUUGUCCUGGAAGUAACUGUUUAUUUACCCGGCCUUCAUCCGCGGAAUAGAAGCUCACCAACGCAGGAACCAUGCCCUGUUCAGCUUUUUCGCCCCAGGCACUUAGCAGAGUGCCAAGCAGAGCAAGCCUAAGUAAAUAUCUGGUGACCUGAACACCAGCCUUAAGAAGAGGGAAGAGGGGCUGGCCUGGUGGCGCAGCGGUUAAGUGCAUACAUUCCACUUCAGCGGCCCGGGGUUCGCCGGUUCGGAUCCCAGGUGCGGACAUGGCACCGCUUGGCACACCAUGCUGUGGGGCCAUGGGGCGCUGGCCUCAGGGUGGUGAGGUGCAAGGAGAACAAGACAGAAGAUGUGAAGGAGAAAGACCUAGAUUCCGGGACCUCAGCCCAGAAGCUCCUACACCCUCGCUGGUGACAGGAAGUUACCCAAGUGGCAAAACUCACUGGGGAGCUUGCCUGGGGGCUGCCCUGGGCCAAGUUUCAUUACCAGCUAUUUUUAUUUUUAGCCUUCAUCAUCUCUCAGAGUAACCAGGUCUAUAAAUGUCCAUACAAUUCGCUGCGCCUGGGCCUAGGGCAGAUCCUAGCCAACCCAUGUCCCACACAAGCCCACAGGAUGGGUUAUCUGAGGCCAAUGUUUUGGGGAAUGAGAGGGCAGUCUCAGGCCUGGGGCUGGCUGGGGCUGGUGGACUCACUCAUGUGCUCCUCUCUCUUCUGGCUCCUCUGCGCUCUGCCGGGCAGCUGCUUCCAGGCUGGGCUGCUUCUAACGUGUGUCUGGGCUCCCAAGCACCCAGCACACACCCUCUCGUUCUGCUAUUGUUCCUGUAGAGUGGGGAAAGAGAGCUUGGGCUCUGCAGUCAGGCAGCUGAGCAACUGAGGGACCUCAGUUUCCUCCCCUGGAAAAAUGGGAAGAAAAACA
rnacentral:lncRNA from 1 species